rnacentral:lncRNA from 1 species
UGUGUGUGGUGAAUGGUGUAGAAAAAUAUGGUAGAGGGUGGUGUUUUGAUAUAUGGCAGAGAGGAUGUAUUUAUAGUGCAAAAACCCAUGGCACAAGGUAGCACAGGAAUGGGAUUGUGUAACCAAAACCCAAGUGGAAUGGAUUAAAUCAAUCAGAAACCAAAGCUAACAAGGAUAAGGGAUACACGGCUUCUAGAAAGAACACUAAAGGAAUUAGGCGCCAGGUUUUAAGGACAAGGAGUAGGGCAUUCUAGAAAACUUAAGAAAAAGGUCUUCUAGAAAUAAUAGGUGCGGCACUAAAGUAGGAUAGGGAUAAGGCUUCUAGAAACCAAUUUUGAUGCGUUUUAAUUGUAUAAUUAUCCCUUAGAAAUAGCUGGAAUUAAGGCACAAACUGAUUUAGAUAAGAUAAGAUAGGAUAAGACCAAAUUAGGGGAGGAUAAGAUAAGAUAAGGUUAGUUUGGAUAAGAUAAGUUUGGAUAAGGUUUUGGAUAAUAUCUCAUUCUUUUGAGCUGAUUCCUUAUCUUCUUUGUCUUGGAUUUAUUUUCUUCAUCUUUUGAGCACAUUCCUAGCCUCUUGAACUUCAAAUUUGUCUAUCCAUCUUGCUCCAUUCAUAAGCUAUCCAAUUGGUGCCCAAAACUGCUUCAAAAUGCUCCAAAUUGCACUUUCUUGCCAACUUUGUCAUAUGGACCUACAAACACACAAAAAUAGCUUAAAACACUAUAAUAAGUAGAAACUAGCUAUGAAAAUGCAAGAAAACAAGCUAACUAGGUCGCAUAAAUAUGCUCCUAUCAUAAUUCAACUUCUCCGAAAGUUCAAAGCUGUGACGCUAGAACAUGUGCCAAGAAAAGAAAUCAAAUGGCAGACACUCUCGCUAACUUAGCCUCAAGUAUGGUGCUAGGAGAAAACGAAGUUGCAGAUGUGCCAGUUUGCCAAAUAUGGGUGAUCUCGCCAGUCACUGAAAUGCUACUAGAUGAUACAAACAUCGUUUCAGUAAUUCCAGUCGACAUUGAAAAGUGGAGACAGCCGUUGAUCGACUACUUGGAGCAUGCAAAGCUUUCGAAUGAUCCUAGACACCUCUCUAAAAUACAUCGAUGAGCACCUCGCUUCCUCUACUACAAAAGAACACUCUACCAAUGCUCUUUUGAAUGAGUACUUCGAAGAUGCUUAGGUUAGGAAGAAGUUCAUCAAGCCAUGGAAGAAGCACACUCAGGCUUGAUAUGGUAGAAACUAACACAAACAUUAAACCCUAUAAAUUAUGCAAUCGUAGUACGAGUAAGUAGGGAUCAUUCUAUUCCGGGGAUUAGAAAGGAUGCUAAUCAACACAAAUUAAACUUAUAAAAUUGAAAACUAAACUAAACUAACAUUAAAACAAUGAGAGGGGAGAUUUUGGACGAAUUUAAUGAAAACAAAAGUAAAGGGUAGCAAGUAAAUUAAGUUGUGAAUGAAAUAUGGAUGAAAGGAUAGCUAAAGGAUUCUUCUCCACACAUGAAACACAUGCAUACAAAUUGAUUUCCAGCUAUUCUUCCUAUAAACCAUGAAUGACAAUGCCCUAAAUUAACUAUGAACAACACUAAUUAACUCUCAAAUUUGCCUAAGUUCAUUGAAUUAGACUCAGCGACGCAACCAAAUUAUUCUUCUCAAGUUUCGUAACUAUGAAAAGCAUGAUAGAGAUACAUCUCAAAGAUCAUUAAGUUAUGUGAAAAUCAUAAGCAUUGACAAAGCAUUCGUAACUAAGAAAAGCAUGAUACUCCUGCCAAUAAUUUACUUAACUCAAUCAUGACUAGUGACUUUUACUACUUGCAAAUAUAAGUUCAUAACGAUUAGGUGAAAUUCCCUUAUAUUCUAGCAUAAAAUCCCUGCAUGCAAACUAAGUGUGCACCCUUAAUAAACAUACAAGAAUAAGUUUUCUAUAAAGCAGAUUAGUAAAUCGAAUUCAUGUUUUAUGAAACAAUAACUGGAUGUAAUCAAUUUAUAUAAAACAUAUGAUCAUGGCUUCGAAUUCACCUCUAGCUAAAAAGAAACUUAGUUACACAUAGUCAUCAUAACUGAAAAACAAUCUAAAAUAAACAUUGAAACUUAAAACAAAGAUAGAAAGAACUCUAAAAAUUCCAACAACUUAAAUGGAUGAAGGGUAGGCAUGGCACCCUAAAUCUCUACAGGAAUUUCAUAUAUAUAGGGGGAAUGGCUGAAUCCAAGGAGGAAAGGGUUUUGGCGUUUUUGAGUUAUUUUAGGACUCUAAAAAUCAGGUAGAAAGUGUUGGAAUGUGAUUAGGAUUCCUUCUUGCAGCUGAAGAUAAGAUAAGAUAAGAUAAGAUAAGAUAAGAUAAUGUUGGAUAAGAUAGGAUAAGAUAAGAUAAGAUAUGAUAAGAUAAGAUAAGAUAAGAUAAGAUAGGAUAGGAUAAGAUAAUGUUCCUCUCCAAUUAGGAUUCCUCUUUCUUAUGUAAUUCCUUGCCUUCCAAGCCUCAACUUUAAUUUCUCCAGAUUUUAGCACAUGUCUAACACCUUUUAAACACCAAAAACGUCCAGCUCAUAUGCUAUCCACCCUUGCUAUCCAAUCCAAGUCCAAAACUGCUCCAAAUUGCUCUAUUUUGCUAUUUAUUGUCAUCUUUACCAACUGGACCUACAAUAAUACGAAAAUAACUUAACUUACCAAAAUAAAUGGAAAUUAACUAAGUAAAUGUAAAGAAAUAAGAUAACAAAGUCGCAUAAAUAUGCUCCUAUCAAAUUCCCCCACACUUAGCUUUUGCUAGUCCCCAAGCAAAAAAAAAGAAAACAAAACAAAACCUAAACCUUCCAACAAUUGCCUCAGAGAUUUCCAAUGAAACAUGACAUGUUAAAAAUCACUACUCACAUAGAUUUUAGCCAUCCUUACUCUUGAGCUUCUACUUAACCGCAGUAACCACUCACUAGCUCGCAUUCACUCAAUUCCUCACCCGAUAUAUUCUCUAUUUUCACAUAGAUUUUUUGGCUACGCUCCCUAUACUAAGUAUAUGUGAGAAGAUUGAUGUAAACAUGUGGACUAGCACUCACAUAUGUUAUAACAAAGAAGGCACUUUCUGAAUUUUAUUAAUACAAACAUGUAUAUGAUCUCAUGAACAGAAUGCCACUACUUAGAAGCGAGAACCAGGGAUUCCAUAUGCUAAGUAUACGUGAGAAGAUUGAUGUAAACAUGUAGACUAGCAAUCACAUAUGUUAUAACAAAGAAGGCACUUUCUGAAUUUUAUUAAUACAAACAUGUAUAUGAUCUCAUGAACAGAAUGCCACUACUUAGAAGCGAGAACCAGGGAUUCCAUAUGCCCGUACCAAUUUCAAACUCCACAUAUUGAAUCACAUAACAAUCAAGAUAAAAGUCUAAGGGUUAUAAUGGGGCUAAGGUUUUGGUUAACAAAGAAAGGUUAAGGAUAAACAAAGGUUCUUAAAGUAAUAGUAAGCAAAGUAAUGAAAUCAACACUUAGAAUUCAACUUUUGAUUGCAGCACCCAACUAUAAACACAAAAGGGAGAUUCGUACAACUUUAAGGUCAGAUUCACAUUUUUGGACCCUUCUUCAACAACCAACACUUAUGAACUCAUUCUCACUUCUUUUUAACCUCUUUUUUUUAUUCUUUUUCUUUUCUCCUUUUUUCAACGUUUUUCUUCUUCUUUUUUUCUUUUUCUUUUUCUUUUUUUAUUUGGAAACAUAAAAGAUAAGCACUACUUCACCGGAUUAAAAAGAACAAAUUCUUCCCCCACACUUGUUUUUCUGCUAAUCAUUGAUCAAAAGGAAUUCCCAACAAGUCAUGCUCCACUAUUCUUUAAGAACUAGGGUAUGGAUAUUCCUAUACCAGGCUAGGUAGGGAUAAUGCAGGCUAACAAAGAAAAUAGGCUAAAUAAGGCUCAAAGGGGUUAAACCUACAAUACAUGUGCAAGGGAUAAGGCUUUUUGGCUAUGGUGGUAACUAAACAACUUCAUCUUGUUAUUUGUUAUGCAAUCAAUUUUAUGCCUUGAAUGAAACAAGCAUGAGUGCUAGUAUUUGGAACUAAAAUGAUGAAAAAGCAUUCUAAGUAGAAUCAAGCAAAGAAAUAAUGAGAUCAUGCAACAACUUUAGAAAACAAGAAUAUCAUAGAUUAUUAACUCUCCAAACAAGGAAUAGGCUCAAGUCUUACAGGGUUGUAGUGUUAGUUUGAGUUUCUUCCUUCAAGCAUGUUACAAAAACUGAUUUUUUUUUCUUUGUGAUUACAUGUGAAUUCGUAAAUGGCAACAACAACUAAGUAUUAACCAAAGAGCAUAUCAAACUUCCACCCAUGUUUGUAACCUUCUUUAACAGUCAUGCAAUUAAAAACCAAAUCCUCAUCAUUGUGUUGGAAGGUACCCUAAGAUACAAACAAGCAACAAAAACGACUCUUUUUGGUUAUUUCUCAAGCUUUUUUUAUUUUAUUUUUUUUCAAAUUUUGUAUAUGACACACAAUAAAACACUUUAAAAUAGUGAAUAACAACAUUAGUAGUGAUAGGUGGUGAAAUUCGAAGAUAAGUCAUGAAAAGCAUUCUGUUUACCCCACCCCACCCACACUUAAACCAAACAUUGUCCUCAAUGUUUCAAAAAUAAACUUAAACAAGAAAGCAAUAAAAGACAACUAGCAAGCAAGACAAUCAUGGCAAAGUAAAAACAAUAAAGAGAAGGGUAAAAGAAAGCAAAUCUGGUUGUAUGAGCUGGAAAUUCCAAUGUCUCUUUGUUUGAAUACAUGGGUUGCCUCCCAAGAAGCGCUUGCUUUAACGUCUUCCAGUUGAAUGAUACCUCCAUUUAAUCCUCACUAGGACCAGCGGAAUGGAGAUGAUCUUUGAAUGGAAGGUGAUACUUGAAAUGAUCCGGUAAUGGUUUAAAUUCUACAGUGGGUGCCUGAAUAAUUGAUAUCAACAACAUGUUAGUAGAAAACGAAAUUAAAAUUUGAGGGGGUGGCUUACCUAUGUGUUGCAAUAAGAACUCAUGGACAAACACUACUUCGAAAGUUUCAGGAAUGUUGCACUUGGCCAGAUUUGGUGCGAGGGCAGUGACUUGUCUCGUGUGAUCUACUCCAAUUCCCUUUUCAAUGGUGGUUCUAAAUACAUCAUUCUUGAUAGGUGCUGAACGUUCAUGCCCUAUAUUUUCAAUCAUAUUAAUGGAAAAACAAGAAUGAACAUCAUUAGGAUACUUAACAGAUUCAGAAACAUUAAAAUUAAUCAUAUUGUCAUCAAACUCCAUAGUUAACACUUCCUUGGACACAUCAAUCUUGGUUUGGGCUGUUUUCAUGAAAGGUCUUCCAAGUAAGAUUGGCAAUGAUGUAGAGUGGGCUGAAUCUUCUAUCUUAAGCACAUAAAAAUCUGCUGGAAAAAUCAAAUGGUCUACCUACACCAAAACAUCUUCCAAAACUCCUUUCGAUAUGCAUUAGAUUAGAUCAGCCAAUUGAAUAAUGACACCAUCAUUUUUAAGCUCUCCUAGAUUCAUAGAUGCAUAAACAGAAUGUGGCAUGACAUUAAUGGAAGCACCUGAAUCUAGCAUAGCAUGUUCAAACCUUGUAUUACCAAUAACACAAGAGAUAGUGAAACUACUUGGAUCUUUGCAUUUAGGUGACAGCUUUCUUUGGAAAACUGCAGAGACAUUUUCACUUACAUGUACCACCUCCUUCUUCAGAAUCCGUUUCUUUGUUGAACAACGCUUCUUAAAAAACUUAGCAUACUUCAGAACUUGCUUUAUUGCAUCAAGAAGUAGGAUAUUAACUUGUACUUUUCUGAAGGCUUCCAAGAUGUCUUUUUCACUCUCUUCUUUCUUGGAUUGCAUAAGCCUGCGAGGAAAAGGUACAUUUGGUGGAAUAAGAUUAGAAAGAAUUGAAUUUGAAACAACCUUACUAGAAUUGGGUGUUGUGGCAAGGCUUCUUCUAAGCUUGUCGUGGCUGAGUCUUCUUCUUCCUCUUUGGACAAUAGCUCUUUGUCUACUUCUAGGCUAUGUUUAGACAUCUCUGGUUCAGCUCCAACCUCCUUACCACUUCCCAAAGUGCUAUCUUCAGCGAUUUCAAAAUCUCCCUUUGAAUUGACAAUAGUUAAGCUGGAAAGUUCGCUUUGCUCGAAUUUGUCCCAUGCAUUCUGCAAUCUGUCCAAGUUGAUUUUUCAAUUCGACCAUCUCUUUAGCUUGGUUUUCUAGAUCCUAAGUCAAAGAAGCACAAGAAGUAUUUAGUACUUGAAGAAUUUGAACAUGAUCCAUGGACAUGCUUGAAUUUGGUUGGAAUUGUUGUGGGGGAAUUUGUUGUGGCUAGAUAGGUUUUGAAUAAAACUCUUGAGAUAUAUGCCAAUAUCCUUCUUGUUGAACUUGUUAAGGUUCCCUCCACAUAAAAUUUGAAUGAUCUCUCGUACCUGGAUUAUAAGUGUUGGAAAACAAGUCGUUCCUUGAUUGAUUAUGGCCUUGAUAACCCCAAGCAUUGACACUUUCCCAACCUCCAUUCUCAAUUAAUUGAGGUUGUUGAUUAGUUUGAUAUCCUUGCCUAUAGGACCCACCAAAUGUAGGGACACUUUGCAUUGUGGACCUUUCGAUAUAUUGAGACAUAAGAGAAGUAAGAUUCACCAUUUGAGCUUCAAGAUUAGCAAUUGCCAUGUCUUGCUUCUCUAGUACCUGAAAUCAAAUAAAUAAAAUUAAAUCAAAUAUCAACAGUAAAAUAAACAAAAAAAUAAAAAUAAAAACAGAGUGAUUAGCAAUUUUUCUAAUCCCCGACAACAGUGCCAAAAUUUGAUAUGGUCGAAACUAACACACAAAUUAAACCCUAUAAAUUAUGCAAUUGUAGUAUAAGUAAGUAGGGAUCAUUCUAUUUCGGGGAUUAGAAGGGAUGCUAAUCAACACAAAUUAAACUUAUAAAACUGAAAACUAAACUAAACUAACAUUAAAACAAUGAGGGGGGGGGAGAUUUUGAACGAAUUUAAUGAAAACAAAAGUAAAGGGUAGCAAGUAAAUUAAGUUGUGAAUGAAAUAUGGAUGAAAGGAUAGCUAAAGGAUUCUUCUCCACACAUGAAACACAUGCAUACAAAUCGAUUUCCAGUUAUUCUCCUAUAAACCAUGAAUGACAAUGCCCCAAAUUAACUAUGAACAACACUAAUUAACUCUCAAAUUUUCCUCACUUCAUUGAAUUAGACUCAGCGACGCAACCAAAUUAUUCUUCUCAAGUUUCCUAACUAAGAAAAGCAUGAUAGAGAUACAUCUCAAAGAUCAUUAAGUUCUGUGAAAAUCAUAAGUAUUAACAAAGCAUUCGUAACUAUGAAAAACAUGAUACUCCUGCCAAGAAUUCACUUAACUCAAUCAUGACUAGUGACUUUUACUACUUGCAAAUAUAAGUUCAUAAUGAUUAGGUGAAAUUCCCUUAUAUUCUAGCAUAAAAUCCCUGCAUGCAAACUAAGUGUGCACCCUUAAUAAACAUACAAGAAUAAGUUUUCUAUAAAGCAGAUAAGUAAAUCGAAUUCAUGUUUUAUGAAACAAUACCUGGAUGUAAUCAAUUUAUAUAAAACAUAUGAUCAUGGCUUCGAAUUCACCUCUAGCUAAAAAGAAACUUAGUUACACAUAUUCAUCAUAAUUGAAAAACAAUCUAAAAUAAACAUUGAAACUUAAAACAAAGAUAAAAAGAACUCUGAAAAUUCCAACAACUUAAAUGGAUGAAGGGUAGGCAUGGCACCCUAAAUCUCUACAGGAAUUUCAUAUAUAUAGGGGGAAUGGCUGAAUCCAAGGAGGAAAGGGUUUUGGCAUUUUUGAGUUAUUUUAGGACUCUAAAAAUCAGGUAGAAAGUGUUGGAAUGUGAUUAGGAUUCCUCCUUGCAGUUGGAGAUAAGAUAAGAGAAUGUUGGAUAAGAUAGGACAAGAUAAGAUAAGAUAAGAUAAGAUAGGAUAGGAUAAGAUAACGUUCCUCUCCAAUUAGGAUUCCUCUUUCUUUUGUAAUUCCUUGCCUUCCAAGCCUCAACUUUAAUUUCUCCAGAUUUUAGCACAUGUCUAACACCUUUUAAACACCAAAAACGUCCAGUCCAUAUGCUAUCCACCUUUGCUAUCCAAUCCAAGUCAAAACUGCUCCAAAUUGUUCCAUUUUGCUAUUUAUUGUCAUCUUUACCAACUGGACCUACAAUAAUACGAAAAUAACUUAAAUUACCAAAAUAAAUGGAAAUUAACUAAGUAAAUGCAAAGAAAUAAGAUAACAAAGUCGCAUAAAUAUGCUCCUAUCAGCUUAUGCGGAGCACAUCAAUCUGGACCAAAGCUGCAGUUCCAGCUCAAAAGGAUUGGCUACUACUGGCCAAUCAUGGUGAAGGAUUGCCUGGAACACGCCAAAAGGUGCCAAGCUUGCCAAUUCCACACCAACUUCAUACAUCAACCACCUGAGCCAUUACACCCUAUGAUUGCUUCAUGGCCAUUCGAUGCGUGAGGAUUAGAUGUCGUAG